CGGUGCGGAUGCCUGGUAGGCAUGAGUAGUCUAGCGCUGCUAUUACUACUGGUGUCGUGGUCACACCCACCUCGCACCUUUACCACCUAUUGUGGUCUGUUUUCCGCUGCUACAUUUCGUUGUAUUCUGGUACGUCUCAACCAGACUCACUACAGAUUUGGUAUCGAGACCAUAGGUCCAUGGGACAGCGGCAGUCCCUCAUUCCGGGCCGCAUUGAUAGGGAGUGCGAACAUUUCGCACGUCUGACUAUCUCUCCCAGUAAGUAACUUCUUACUGCAAGUAAGUUGUUCGAUUAGCUGUCCCGGUGAGCAAGAUCCUACUGUAUUGUAGUGAACGGGACAGGCGGAACAAACGACCCCGGUGGGUCACUCGACGUCGCUAUGGCGUCAGGCUCCUCAGGGAACCCAGGUGGGUUCAACCUUGCCAGUUGGCAAUGGGGCGCAGGUUGGGGCCCGGCGCAGAAUGCUGCCGCACCAGGUGGAGUUAACCUGAAUAUCCCCUUUCAGCAAGUUGCUGAUGCCGCAGCUGCGCCUGCUGCUGCUGCUGCCCCUGCAGCGGGUGAGGCUGGCGCUGCCGCUCCCCCGUUGGCACCCGUUGUGCCCGUGCCCGUCGCACCUGUUGGUCAACCAGUAAUCCCUAUUGCUGGAGCACCCGCCGCUGGCGCAAUGCCAGACCCCGCACAGCCCGUUGCUGUGCCAGCAGCUGUUGCGGUCGCACAGCUCCCGGAUGCGCAGAUGGCUCCACCUUCCUUUGCUGCUGCUGUGGCGGCACCCGCUCCAGUACACGCUGGACCUGUCCAGGCGCCGCCCGUCGCUGCCCCUAUUCAGCCGGCCAACGCGGGUGUGGGCCGUGGUGCUGGAGGCCGUGGCCGGGGUGGUGGACGUGGUGGUGGCCCAGCAGGCCGCAUGGCCGGACGCAAUGGUCCAGGUGGGGGUCGCGGACAGGGAGGCCGGGGUAAUGUUAACCCGGGUCGAGGCCGUGGUGCCCGAGGAGGAGCCGCCGCAGGUCGCGGUGCAGAGGCUGCCGGUCGCGGUGCGGGCCGAAUGGUCCAGGGCGAAUGGCAACAAGUGAUGGGACGGAAGCGUCAGCGGGUGAACCUGGCACUGUCUAACAAGCCAGCGCCUGGUGGGGGGUACCUACCAAAAGCGCAGAUUGAACUGGCGAUGUCCCUCCACGGUUGCUGGGUGUGCCUGGGUUUGGAUCACACCUAUCACAACUGUCCUCGUUGGAACGAGGAUGCUGGCGCCGGUGGUGCCGGUGGCACUGUUGCCUAGGGAGUUGCCCCUCCGAGGUUCGUUCGGCGCCCGGAUGGGAAUUGUCUUUGGUCCAAGUAUUGGCAGGGUUUGGGACGAUCAGUGCACGAAAGCGAAGUUGCUAGUAUUGUAACCACUGUGGGCCGAGAGUUCACUUUAGAUGCAUGUGCAUCAGACUGCGGCUUGUCUGCCGUAUGUAACGCUUUCUCGUGUACAGCCCGCCCAUGCCUUGAUACCAACGUUGCCGGACAUACAGUCUGGAUGGCUCCGAAUGCAGCUGACUUGCCUGCGUACGUAACGCAGUAUCGUGCCUGUAAGCCGCUGGCUCCACAGUCAACAGCAGCUUGCAUACUAGUUCCUAGUGGAACGGAACCAUCUUUGUUAAAAGGCAUGAAAUUGGUACGACGAUACCCAGUGGGUACCUCUUUGUUUUACGUACCAGAUGUACAAGGAAGCCGCGCGCUUCUUCCUCCUAUUACUGAAGUUAUGGAGGUAUGGUAUGAUGGUCCAGACAGCACGGAAGAAAUCCCUGCCUGUAUGGCUUUUGGGAAGGCUGUUCCUCACCUAGCAGUGAAGAUUUCAGGGUCUACGUUUAUAGCCAUGUUGGAUUCGGGAGCUACGCAUAGCUUCGUUUCCGAGGCGCUGGUGCGUCUUCUUCAUCUUCACGUGCUACCCUCAACCUUCACGUACGUACGGUUGGCGGAUGGUGGAAUGUCCCCCAUCGUUGGUCAAACGAUGCUGAAGGUGAGAGUGGGACCGGUGCGGUUGGUAGUACCUGCCCUAGUGAUGAAGGGGUUGCCAACCUCGGCUGAUCUGAUCUUAGGUGCGAAUAUCUUAGAGCAAAGUCGAAUGCGAAUCGAUUUUGACACCAGAGUGGUAACACUCCGGAAGGGUACGCAAGAGUUUCGUCGUACCUAUUCGCACGGAAAGGAGGAUCCUUCCAAAGAUCAGCGCCCAAAACAUCACGUUAUCAUGACAAUGCAAGCCAGGGCAGAGUGCUUAUCAAUUAAUCGCACACAGGCGAAAAACAUGAUGCGAAAGGGAGCGCACGUGUUAUUAGUCCGUCCGCGGCUAACUGCUGGCGCAGUAGUACGCGCAGCUGCGACCCGUGGGUCAGGUGGGCCGGACGUACCGACUACCUCAGCCGCUGAAGUAAAAGUGACGGAUCCAGAAAUCGCCGCCUUGUUGGAGCGAUAUCAGGAUAUCUUUGCGGACAUAACUGAGCCACCUCCUGAAAGAUUGGUGACUCAUACCAUCCCGCUGGUCGAAGGUGCUCAGCCCGUUGCUCGGCCCCUAUAUCGACUAACUCCAAAUGAAUUGGAGGAAGUUAAACGACAAGUUGAAGACUUGUUGCGUAAAGGGAUGAUACGGCCAAGUAGUUCGCCGUGGGCUGCACCAAUCCUUUUCGUUGCUAAAAAGGACGGCACACUACGAAUGGUUGUAGACUAUCGUGGGCUAAACGCUCAAACGGUAAAGAACCGGUAUCCUUCACCACGGAUCGAUGAUCUAGUCGAUAGUCUCGGUGGUAGUACAGUGUACUCAUCCAUCGACCUUCAACAAGGAUAUAACCAAAUUCGUAUUCGUAACGAAGAUGUUCCGCAAACGGCAUUCCGGACACCCCUCGGUCACUAUGAGUAUGUAGUGUUACCGUUCGGUCUGACCAAUGCUCCCGCUACGUUUCAAACAGUUAUGAAUCGUGUCAUGGAACCGUUUAUUGGUCGCUUUGUGGUGGUGUACCUGGAUGAUAUCUUGAUUCAUUCACGAAGUCGUGAAGAGCAUUUACGACACUUGGAACAGGUUUUCGAAGUGCUCAGACGGGAACGUCUCCACGCCAAAGCCUCAAAAUGUCACUGGGCACAAACAGAGUUAGAGUACCUGGGACAUAUUAUCAGUACGUCAGGUGUACGUCCUGAUCCCAAGAAAGUCCGCGUUGUGCGUGACUGGCCGUUACCUAAGGGUGUAUUUCCAGUGCGGAUUAAGGCCAGGGAUUAGCGUUAAUCCCUGCGCUAAUCCCGGCAGUGGAAAUCCCACCGGGAUUAAGCAGGAUUAGCCGGGGAUUAAGAAAUUCCUCAGGACACCGUGUUCUCUAAUCAGAAGAUUAGCGGGAGCUAGCAAGAGAUUAGGAAAGAACAUAAACUGAACUUGAUGCCCAUGUAUUUACCUGGCAACCUGUGACAAAAAAGUUAUUAGGGUGUAUUUCCAGUGCGGAUUAAGGCCAGGGAUUAGCGUUAAUCCCUGCGCUAAUCCCGGCAGUGGAAAUCCCACCGGGAUUAAGCAGGAUUAGCCGGGGAUUAAGAAAUUCCUCAGGACACCGUGUUCUCUAAUCAGAAGAUUAGCGGGAGCUAGCAAGAGAUUAGGAAAGAACAUAAACUGAACUUGAUGCCCAUGUAUUUACCUGGCAACCUGUGACAAAAAAGUUAUUACCUGGCUCGAGCCAGGUAGUAACUUUCCGUAUCUGGAUUAGCAUUCACGGCGCCAUGUCUGACGUUAAUUUCUAGGUAGUUCCAUAUAUAUGAUCUCAAAUAAGCAAUUCCUGUUUUGGGUUGCUCAAAAGGUGAUGAAGAGAUGAACGGCGAGAAGAGUGCGCUUCCUGUUCAUAUCUAAUACUGAUUCAAUUCCUAAUGCCCAAACUAGUUCAGAACUUAACAAUUUUAGCUUCAGAAUCACAUAGGAAGUAUGCAUCGCCCUUUGUACGGCCUUAAUCCCAGCGCUAAUCCCAGGCCUUAAGAAUUGCCAGGGAUUAGCCGGGGAUUAGCCGGGAAUAGCGGGACCUUAAUCCCUGGCCUUAAUCCGCACUGGAAAUACACCCUUACCUGGCUCGAGCCAGGUAGUAUCUUUCCGUAUCUGGAUUAGCAUUCACGGCGCCAUGUCUGACGUUAAUUUCUAGGUAGUUCCAUAUAUAUGAUCUCAAAUAAGCAAUUCCUGUUUUGGGUUGCUCAAAAGGUGAUGAAGAGAUGAACGGCGAGAAGAGUGCGCUUCCUGUUCAUAUCUAAUACUGAUUCAAUUCCUAAUGCCCAAACUAGUUCAGAACUUAACAAUUUUAGCUUCAGAAUCACAUAGAAAGUAUACAUCGCCCUUUGUACGGCCUUAAUCCCAGCGCUAAUCCCAGGCCUUAAGAAUUGCCAGGGAUCAGCCGGGGAUUAGCCGGGAAUAGCGGGACCUUAAUCCCUGGCCUUAAUCCGCACUGGAAAUACACCCUAACUCGAUUACAGAGCUGCGUCAGUUCUUGGGGUUGACCAAUUAUUUUCGUAAAUAUAUUCGGUCAUAUGCUGCGUUGUCGGCACCCCUAACCGAUAUGCUUUGUGGUAAAGCAAACAUAUUGCCCGAGUGGACUCCCUCGGCACGUGAAGCCUUUGAGGUAGUAAAGAAAGCCUUGGCAGACGAUGUCUUGCUUCGGUACCCUGAUUUGACCAAACCGUUCUCUUUUGAGGUGAUUUCGGACGCAUCGUUAAGGGGAACAGGUGCUGUACUUCUCCAAGAUGGAGCCCCUAUUGCGUUCACCAGUAAAACGUUCACGCCAGCCGAGCGGAACUAUACAACGGGAGAGCAGGAAUUGCUUGGUGUAAUCCAUGCCCUAAAAGAGUGGCGAUGCUACCUCGAAGGACCACAUGACGUACGCGUGGCAACGGAUCAUCACCCGUUAUUUUACCUCAAAACGCAACCCACGUUAAAUCGAAGGCAAGCACGUUGGCUUGAGUUCCUUAGUCGAUUUCAUUUAUUGUGGGAACAUCGUGCUGGGAAACUGAAUGUAGCUGAUGCUCUCAGUCGACAUCCCUCACUGAAUGCGAUAACCCGAAGGACGAAAGCAUGUACGCUUCGAGAACGUAUCCUGGCUGGGUAUGCUAAGGAUCCUUGGUUCGGUCAAUCACUAAACGUAGCUACGUAAUGAACAAGGCUACUGGCUCAAGGCGAUGCCUACGGGACGUCGAAGUAUUGUCGUUCCAUGUGAGCCCCAACUACGACAAGAACUGAUAGAUCGCUGUCAUGGAGGACCCAUGGGUGGACACCCAGGAGUCGCUCGCACCCUUGAGUUAGUACAACGACACCAUUGGUGGCCUGGGAUAACAGCAGAUAUCGAGUCUUUCGUACGUUGUUGUGAUAAAUGUCAACGUAACAAAACCUUGUCAGGGCGACAACAUGGUUUGUUGCAACCGUUGCCAAUACCAGACAUGCCGUGGGACAGUGUCUCAAUGGAUUUUGUGGUUGGUUUGCCGCGUACGCAACGACAACACGACGCCAUUUUUGUUGUGGUGGAUCGUCUCACCAAGAUGGCUCAUUUUGUACCAACCAAUACGCAUGUCACAGCCGAGAAAACUGCGGAGUUGUUCCUUGCAAACGUUGUUCGAUUGCAUGGAUUGCCCAAAACAACAGUCUCUGAUAGAGGACCGCAGUUUGCUGGAAUGUUCUGGCAACAUAUGGCUCGUAUGAUCGAUCUUCGUUCAGAUCUGUCUACAGCAUUCCAUCCACAGACCGAUGGUCAAACAGAGCGCAUGAACCGUGUGCUGGCCGACAUGUUACGAAAUUACUGUGAUGGAUCUCCAUCCACGUGGGAUAAAGUUUUAUCCUUGGCGGAAUUUGCUGUUAACAAUUCGGUAAACCGGUCUACUGGUCAAACACCCUUCUUUCUAAAUUACGGUUAUCAUCCUGCAACACCUACUGUACGAGAGUUAGAUGUUACUGUACCAACAGCUAAGGCAUUUGUGCAAACAAUGGAUCAACGCCUAGCUGAUGCUAAACGAUGUUUAUUGGCGGCUCAAAGUCGUACUGAGCAACACUACAACGCCAAGAAAAGGGAUGUUUUGUUUGAGCCAAGACAACUUGUUUUAUUAAGUACUAAAAACUUGCGUUUGCGAGGUAAGGGCAUUCGUAAACUCACGCCUCGUUGGUGUGGCCCGUUCGAGGUCGAACAAAUGGUAGGAAAUGUCGCUGUGAAGCUGAAGCUUCCAAGCAACUUGAAGAUACAUAAUGUAUUUCAUGUAUCGCUUGUUAAGCCCUACCGUACCGAUGGUACUUUUCAACCGUUGCCUGUUGAGCAAUUACCGGAGGAGUUCUCUGAGGAUACUACUUAUCCGAUAGACCGAGUAUUGGACUAUCGCCGCCGGAAGGUGGGACGUAAGUACGUCGAUGAAUAUCUGGUUAAGUGGAAAGGUUUCGAGUCGGAACAUAACAGUUGGGAACCAGCUGACCACUUUACACCGGAUAUGGCUGCUGAGUUGCAGUUCAUUAAGUCCCGUAGUCGUGAGGACACGACUCCUAAAAGGAGGGGAUAAAUGUUGUGGCCUAUGGUUGGUCAAUCUAACCAGUAUGGUUAUGUAAUUAACGAAUCCCAGCAUAUCCCAGUUGGAUAUCGAACGGACGUUCCAACGUUCGAGGCUGAGAUCAACUGACAGGUUGUCGGUUGUGUAAAGUGUGACAGUCGUCAGUCAUACAGUCGCGUCGAUCGACCUAUCCUAUCAAGGAAGGUUAAGAGAAGUCCCGCAGGGCUACGGUCGCCAGUUACCGAUCGUAUAUAAUCCGGUGCGGAUGCCUGGUAGGCAUGAGUAGUCUAGCGCUGCUAUUACUACUGGUGUCGUGGUCACACCCACCUCGCACCUUUACCACCUAUUGUGGUCUGUUUUCCGCUGCUACAUUUCGUUGUAUUCUGGUACGUCUCAACCAGACUCACUACAGUGUGGAUGCGUGUUCACUAGACCGUUUAAAGUUGCAUUAGCCUCCAGAGGUGUAACCUGGGGGCCCAUACGAGCCCUGAGGGGGGGCAAAGGCCAGUUGAAGCCUGCGAAGAUGUAAGACUACCUGAUGCUUCUGCUGGUCUGUGCUUCUGCUCCCUGAUAGUGUGGCCCCCUUGACCGUUCAUCUGUAUCACCCAGCAUGUCAGCCAGUCGUUUGAAAUUGACGAGGUGUUAUGAGGGCAGCUAUAUCUAGUAGAUAUAUUAUCUACACAUCCUAGUAAUAGGCGGCAGAUGUACGUGCAUGACCCGCGUAUUCGCCCCUCACGCGCGUGCCAAACCUUGCGUGUCAACA
rnacentral:lncRNA from 1 species